UGGGGAAUUUUGGACAAUGGGCGAAAGCCUGAUCCAGCAAUGCCGCGUGUGUGAAGAAGGCCUUCGGGUUGUAAAGCACUUUUGUCCGGAAAGAAAUCCUCUGGGUUAAUACCUCGGGGGGAUGACGGUACCGGAAGAAUAAGCACCGGCUAACUACGUGCCAGCAGCCGCGGUAAUACGUAGGGUGCAAGCGUUAAUCGGAAUUACUGGGCGUAAAGCGUGCGCAGGCGGUUUUGUAAGACGGAUGUGAAAUCCCCGGGGCUUAACCUGGGAACUGCAUUCGUGACUGCAAGGCUAGAGUAUGGCAGAGGGGGGUAGAAUUCCACGUGUAGCAGUGAAAUGCGUAGAGAUGUGGAGGAAUACCGAUGGCGAAGGCAGCCCCCUGGGCCAAUACUGACGCUCAUGCACGAAAGCGUGGGGAGCAAACAGGAUUAGAUACCCUGGUAGUCCACGCCCUAAAACGAUGUCAACUAGUUGUUGGGGAUUCAUUUCCUUAGUAACGUAGCUAACGCGUGAAGUUGACCGCCUGGGGAGUACGGUCGCAAGAUUAAAACUUAAAGGAAUUGACGGGGUCAUAGCUGUUUCCU
rnacentral:rRNA from 1 species